CAUCGAUAGAGGGAGAGGCGGACUUGACUCCUUCUAAUAAGAGCUAGGAACUUGGAACCAACGCGAUUUGUGUGGAGACGACAGAGUGAACCAAUCCUCUGUAGGAGGGAACCGUUGGAGCGCGUUGGCUGGGUUUUUUUUUCCUUGGGUUUGAUCCCGACUCCUAUGAUCACUCACUUGGAACGAGAACUGGAUUUCUUCCUGACGAGGGAGAUGGCGAGCCUUAACCACUGAACGAACCAGGACAUCUCAAGUAACUGAAGAGCAGACUGCUCUCUUCUGUGAACAAUCUCAACGGUGCGGUAGGAAAAAAUCGCACCACCGGACUCUGACUUUCACCCCAAGCGUGGGGAUUUGACUUGACGCCGGCUGACUUGUGACUCAUAUGAUCAAAUCUCAUACCGAGCAUUUUACUAUUGUCGAUUGUUUUCAUCUGUUUUUGUGUGUUAUCUUUAUGUGUUAUAUUUCCCACUAUUAUUAAAAUUUAGUAUAUAAACCGUUUCAUGCUAUACCCGUGACUCCAGUCAUUCUUAAACAACCUCCAAUUCUCCCCGAACCUAAUUAUUGGCCCAUUUGUUUAUUUUUUCUUUUAAUUAUCUUAUUGUAUCCUGUAAUCC